UCGAAUAUGGGCGUAAGAGCUCGUAGGCGGUUGUCGCGUCUGCUGUGAAAGACCGGGGCUCAACUCCGGUUCUGCAGUGGGUACGGGCAGACUAGAGUGCAGUAGGGGAGACUGGAAUUCCUGGUGUAGCGGUGAAAUGCGCAGAUAUCAGGAGGAACACCGAUGGCGAAGGCAGGUCUCUGGGCUGUAACUGACGCUGAGGAGCGAAAGCAUGGGGAGCGAACAGGAUUAGAUACCCUGGUAGUCCAUGCCGUAAACGUUGGGCACUAGGUGUGGGGGACAUUCCACGUUUUCCGCGCCGUAGCUAACGCAUUAAGUGCCCCGCCUGGGGAGUACGGCCGCAAGGCUAAAACUCAAAGGAAUUGACGGGGGCCCGCACAAGCGGCGGAGCAUGCGGAUUAAUUCGAUGCAACGCGAAGAACCUUACCAAGGCUUGACAUGAACCGGUAAUACCUGGAAACAGGUGCCCCGCUUGCGGUCGGUUUACAGGUGGUGCAUGGUUGUCGUCAGCUCGUGUCGUGAGAUGUUGGGUUAAGUCCCGCAACGAGCGCAACCCUCGUUCUAUGUUGCCAGCGGUUCGGCCGGGGACUCAUAGGAGACUGCCGGGGUCAACUCGGAGGAAGGUGGGGACGACGUCAAAUCAUCAUGCCCCUUAUGUCUUGGGCUUCACGCAUGCUACAAUGGCCGGUACAAAGGGGUUGCGAUACUGUGAGGUGGAGCUAAUCCCAAAAAGCCCGGUCUCAGUUCGGAUUGGGGUCUGCAACUCGACCCCCAUGAUGUCGGGAGUCGCUAGUAAUCGCAGAUCAGCAACGCUGCGGUGAAUACGUUUCCCCGGGCCCUUUUUAC
rnacentral:rRNA from 1 species